rnacentral:rRNA from 1 species
UGGGGAAUAUUGCACAAUGGGCGCAAGCCUGAUGCAGCCAUGCCGCGUGUAUGAAGAAGGCCUUCGGGUUGUAAAGUACUUUCAGCGGGGAGGAAGGGAGUAAAGUUAAUACCUUUGCUCAUUGACGUUACCCGCAGAAGAAGCACCGGCUAACUCCGUGCCAGCAGCCGCGGUAAUACGGAGGGUGCAAGCGUUAAUCGGAAUUACUGGGCGUAAAGCGCACGCAGGCGGUUUGUUAAGUCAGAUGUGAAAUCCCCGGGCUCAACCUGGGAACUGCAUCUGAUACUGGCAAGCUUGAGUCUCGUAGAGGGGGGUAGAAUUCCAGGUGUGGCGGUGAAAUGCGUAGAGAUCUGGAGGAAUGCCGGUGGCGAAGGCGGCCCCCUGGACGAAGACUGACGCUCAGGUGCGAAAGCGUGGGGAGCAAACAGG